GAUGAACGCUGGCGGCGUGCCUAAUACAUGCAAGUCGAGCGAAUGGAUUAAGAGCUUGCUCUUAUGAAGUUAGCGGCGGACGGGUGAGUAACACGUGGGUAACCUGCCCAUAAGACUGGGAUAACUCCGGGAAACCGGGGCUAAUACCGGAUAAUAUUUUGAACUGCAUGGUUCAAAAUUGAAAGGCGGCUUCGGCUGUCACUUAUGGAUGGACCCGCGUCGCAUUAGCUAGUUGGUGCGGUAACGGCUCACCAAGGCAACGAUGCGUAGCCGACCUGAGAGGGUGAUCGGCCACACUGGGACUGAGACACGGCCCAGACUCCUACGGGAGGCAGCAGUAGGGAAUCUUCCGCAAUGGACGAAAGUCUGACGGAGCAACGCCGCGUGAGUGAUGAAGGCUUUCGGGUCGUAAAACUCUGUUGUUAGGGAAGAACAAGUGCUAGUUGAAUAGCUGGCACCUUGACGGUACCUAACCAGAAAGCCACGGCUAACUACGUGCCAGCCGCCACAGUAA
rnacentral:rRNA from 1 species